CACAAAGGGUGGUUAGGAAUUGCGCCCUGGGGUUAUUGGUCUAACCAGUUCGAGUUAGUCAUCAGAGGCCAGUUAUAGGAGGCUAAAGUAGGCACAGGAGGAGUUUUGACCAGGAUGGGAGUAGCUUUACAAGAUGGAUGCUAUUGGCAUCCUCAGGGAAGUUCCAGAUGAAUACAAAGCUAUGAAUCAAAUAUGUGAAGGCUUUAACACUACAUUAUUUUGGUAGUUGACAAUAAAUAAUAAUGUGGAUUGAAUUAAUGACAUAUUUUAAUCAACAGAGAUUCAUGAAUGAAACAGGGGAUGCAGUAAAGAGGUUCUCUGACCAAUUAUCCGCCACCUCCCUCAUGACCUGGUAAAAUAGACUGACUCUCGAUAGGUUACGGGCAAAGAGGAUGGUGUAGGUAGAAUGAUUAGGUUCAUUGCUGUACGUACAUUUUUGAUAACACAGAUCAUGUUUGGGAAAUGGAAAAGUGUUGCAAGAACUGUAUUAUGGGCUGCUUUCACCUGUAUGAGUGUGAUUGGGUUGUGUGGUUGUUGUUUGGUCCCGUGUGCAAGAGGUUUAAUCACCAGAACUCUAGAGAGAUGAUAACGGAGCAGAUGGUGAGCUACGGACCGAGUCAAAGUUCAGAUCAAUGAGAUGACAAGUACCUACCGCCGAGCAAGAUUGUUCUUUUUUGUCACGUCUUGCAGACGUGAAGAGGGGGAUUUGUAAUAAAGAUAAUCUAACGUUUUACCUAAUGAUAUAUAAGGAGGGCAUUUGCACAACAUGUUUCACAACAGCACACAACAAAAUUCCAGAGACAUAUUGAGCAAC